UGCUUGCUCCAGCAGCAAUAUACUAAAAUUGGAAUUAUACACAGAAGAUAAGCAUGGCCCCAGAAGAAUGGCAUGCAAAUUUGUGAAAGCAUUCCAUAUUUUU